AUUAAGCCUCAGCUCCAGCUCUCUGUAUUGCACUCACUAGUCAUCAGGUUGGAAGGUCCUGGGUUCCUGUGUCCUGUUGGGCAACCGCAUGAUAGAACUUUAAUGCUACUUCCUGGCAUAGCAGGAGAUGAAAGAGCAGGGGGAAGAAACAUCAAUCUAACCACGAAUUUUAUUUCCUUGUGUUUCUGAUGCUAAAAAUGGAGAGGAAGUCAAACUAGACAAGAGGGAAGUCUCCAUGAAGUGUGGAAAACAAGCUCCUUGAUUGUGGAUGUGCAGAGCUGCCUGUUGAGUCUGAGGAGUCUGGCAUGUGACACACUGCAGACCUGAGACAAGAAGCCUUGUUGCUAUGGGUGACUUUUAGUGACCUAUAAAUUUUGCAGGCGCGCCACGGCACUCUAUUAUUGCUUUCUUUCUCUGAGUCACUAAUUAGAUCCUGAUGAUUUCCAUGUGAAACCAUGAGGACUGGGAGAUGCAAAAUGGUUUUGCUGUGUAGAUUCAUGAAUGCUGGACUGUUGGAGGAUAUCUGAGUGUGCUUUGCAUACUUGGCUUAAUUUGUUUUUUUUUAACUAAAAGUAGUUGUAGGUGAAAUGAUUACUUAGGUAAUUGUUUUGGUAAAUGGCUUGAAGUUGAACCACAGCAGUUUUGCUAUUUGGAAAAAAAA
rnacentral:lncRNA from 1 species